rnacentral:rRNA from 1 species
AUUGAACGCUGGCGGCAUGCCUUACACAUGCAAGUCGAACGGCAGCGGGGGAGAAGCUUGCUUUUCCUGCCGGCGAGUGGCGAGCGGGUGAGUAAUACCUCGGAACGUGCCCUGUAGUGGGGGAUAAGUAGUCGAAAGAUUAGCUAAUACCGCAUACGACCUGAGGGUGAGUGCGGGGGAACGGAAGGCCACAUGGCAUAGGAAGCGCCGAUGGCUGAUUAGCUAGUUGGAGGGGUAAAGGCCGACCAAGGCGACGAUCAGUAGCUGGUCUGAGAGGACGAUCAGCCACGCUGGGACUGAGACACGGCCCAGACUCCUACGGGAGGCAGCAGUGGGGAAUUUCGGACAAUGGGCGAAAGCCUGAUCCAGCAAUGCCGCGUGUGUGAAGAAGGCCUUCGGGUUGUAAAGCACUUUUGUCCGGAAAGAAAUGGCUCUGGUUAAUACCUGGGGUCGAUGACGGUACCGGAAGAAUAAGGACCGGCUAACUACGUGCCAGCAGCCGCAGUAA